rnacentral:rRNA from 1 species
GACAGAGGUGCCGAGCGUUAGGCGGAAUCACUGGGCUUAAAGCGUGUGUAGGCGGAUGGGUAAGUACCUUGUGAAAUCCCACGGCUCAACCCGGUGGAACUGCUCGGUAUACUGCUCGUCUUGAGCCAACUAGGGGCGACCGGAACAAACGGUGGAGCGGUGAAAUGCGUAGAUAUCGUUUUGGAACGCCGAUGGUGAAAACAGGUCGCUGGGGUUGUGCUGACGCUGAGACACGAAAGCCAGGGGAGCGAACGGG